UUAAAAUUUUAUCUUAGUUUAAAAAUUAGAUUUAAUAAUAAAUUUAUAUAUAAGUUUUUUAAUUGGGUUUAAUUUGAAAAAUUAAAUUGUAAUCAUUGUAAUUUAUAGUUUUAGUUAAUUUAAUAAUUUAAGAGCUAGGAAUUAUUAAAAAUAUUGGUCAAGUUUAUGCCAGCAACUGCGGUUAGAUACACAAUAUGAUUUAAUUUGUUUUAAUUUAGGUAAUUUUUAGAUAUUUAAUUUAUAAAAAAAAUUAUUAGAUGAAAUUUUAAUUUUUAUUAAAAUUAAUUAUAGAGAUAUUGAUACUGAAAAUUUUAAGUUUAAACUAGGAUUAGAUACCCUAUUAUUUAAAUAGUAAAUGUUAUAAAUUAAAUUAGUAUUAGUUAUAUUUUUGAAAGUUAAAAGAUUUGGCGGUAUUUUAGUCUUUUUAGAGGAACUUGUUCUAUAAUUGAUAAUCCACGAUUUAAUAUACUUUUUUUAUUAGUUUAUAUAUCGUUGUUGUAAAAAAAUUUUUAAAAAAUAUUAAUUUUUUAAAUUUUGAAUAAAAAAAUAAAUCAGAUCAUGAUGUAGUUUAUAAAAAAGAAGAAAUGAGUUACAUUAAUUUUAUAAUUAUUAAGGAUUUUUAUUAGAAUAGUAAAUUGAAUUUGGAUUUAAGUGUAAAUUUAAUUAAUUAAUUAAAUUGAUUUAGCUCUAAAAUAUGUACAUAUCGCCCGUCGCUUUCAUUUUAAAAUGAAAUAAGUCGUAACAAAGUAGAUUUAUUGGAAAAUGAAUCUAGAUUACA
rnacentral:ncRNA from 1 species